rnacentral:rRNA from 1 species
UACGGGGGGGGCGAAGCGUUGUCCGGAAUUAUUGGGCGUAAAGAGCUCGUAGGCGGCUUGUCACGUCGAUUGUGAAAGCCCGAGGCUUAACCUCGGGUCUGCAGUCGAUACGGGCUAGCUAGAGUGUGGUAGGGGAGAUCGGAAUUCCUGGUGUAGCGGUGAAAUGCGCAGAUAUCAGGAGGAACACCGGUGGCGAAGGCGGAUCUCUGGGCCAUUACUGACGCUGAGGAGCGAAAGCGUGGGGAGCGAACAGG